rnacentral:rRNA from 1 species
UACGUAGGCAGCAAGCGUUGUUCGGAAUUACUGGGCGUAAAGGGCGCGUAGGCGGUUCGGUAAGUAGGAGGUGAAAUUUCGGGGCUCAACCCUGAAACUGCCUUCUAAACUGCCGAACUGGAGCACGGUAGAGGCAGAUGGAAUUCCCGGUGUAGCGGUGGAAUGCGUAGAGAUCGGGAAGAACACCAGUGGCGAAGGCGGUCUGCUGGGCCGUUGCUGACGCUGAGGCGCGACAGCGUGGGGAGCAAACAGG